rnacentral:snRNA from 1 species
UUGUUCAGUUUGGCACCAUAUAUACUAAAAUGGGAGUGACGUGACGCAGAGAAGACUAGCAUGACUGUUGUGCAAAGAUGACACACAGAUUCAUAAAAUAUCCAUGCUCAU